CCUACGGGGGGCUGCAGUGGGGAAUAUUGGACAAUGGGCGAAAGCCUGAUCCAGCCAUGCCGCGUGUGUGAAGAAGGCCUUCGGGUUGUAAAGCACUUUCAGUGGGGAAGAAAGCCUUGGGGCUAAUACCCUCGAGGAAGGACAUCACCCACAGAAGAAGCACCGGCUAACUCCGUGCCAGCAGCCGCGGUAAUACGGAGGGUGCGAGCGUUAAUCGGAAUUACUGGGCGUAAAGCGCGCGUAGGCGGUCUGAUAAGCCGGUUGUGAAAGCCCCGGGCUCAACCUGGGAACGGCAUCCGGAACUGUCAGGCUAGAGUGCAGGAGAGGAAGGUAGAAUUCCCGGUGUAGUGGUGAAAUGCGUAGAGAUCGGGAGGAAUACCAGUGGCGAAGGCGGCCUUCUGGACUGACACUGACGCUGAGGUGCGAAAGCGUGGGUAGCAAACAGGAUUAGAUACCCUGGUAGUC
rnacentral:rRNA from 1 species